GAUGAGCAUGCGUCCUAUUAGCUAGUUGGUAAGGUAACGGCUUACCAAGGCUACGAUAGGUAGGGGUCCCGAGAGGGAGAUCCCCCACACUGGUACUGAGACACGGACCAGACUCCUACGGGAGGCAGCAGUGGGGAAUAUUGGACAAUGGGCGCAAGCCUGAUCCAGCCAUGCCGCGUGCAGGAAGACGCAUCUAUGGUGUGUAAACUGCUUUUGUACGGGAAGAAACACCCCCUCGUGAGGGGGCUUGACGGUACCGUAAGAAUAAGGAUCGGCUAACUCCGUGCCAGCAGCCGCGGUAAUACGGAGGAUCCAAGCGUUAUCCGGAAUCAUUGGGUUUAAAGGGUCCGUAGGCGGUUUGAUAAGUCAGUGGUGAAAGCCCAUCGCUCAACGAUGGAACGGCCAUUGAUACUGUCAGACUUGAAUUACUGGGAAGUAACUAGAAUAUGUAGUGUAGCGGUGAAAUGCUUAGAUAUUACAUGGAAUACCAAUUGCGAAGGCAG
rnacentral:rRNA from 1 species